rnacentral:rRNA from 1 species
AGUGAACGCUGGCGGCAUGCCUAAUACAUGCAAGUCGAACGGCAGCACAGUAAGCGUUCGCCCUUGCGGGUGGCGAGGGACGGACGGGUAAGGCGUACAUCGGAAGCUUCUUUGCCGUGGGGGACAACGUGGGGCAACUGAUGAUAAUACAGAAUAAGUUCUACGGGAGGAAUCAAGGGAUAAUCAGACCUUGGCCGCACGAAAGAGCCGAUGUCGGAUUAGCUAGUUGGCGGGGUAAAGGCCCACCAAGCCGACGAUCCGUAGCUAGUCUGAGAGGAUGAUCAGCCCCACUGGAACGGAGACACGCUCCAGACUCCUACGGGAGGCAGCAGUGGGGAAUAUUGGCCAAUGGGCGCAAUCCUGCCGCAGCCCUACCGCGUGGUUGAAGAAGGUCUCCGGUUUUUAAACUCUUUUUGUUGGGAAAGAAAAGCAGGAGGUUAAUACCCCGCUGUUCUGACGGUACCUAAACAAUAAGCACCGGCUAACUUCGUG